rnacentral:lncRNA from 1 species
UUUAGGUUAGAAUGACUUGGGUUAUGUAUUUGGUAUUUUUAAUUUCGGUUUGGGCUGAUUGGGUCGUGAGUCUGUAAAUGGACAUUUAUUUAAUUGAAUUUUUAGUUUAAUUUUAAUAUUUGUAAAAAAACUAGGCUGUUAAUAGUGGAUAUUUUAAUUUAAUUUAUUUAUUUUUCUUUUUUUUGGUAUUUAUUGGGUCGGGCAAAAUGUGUUAUUAUAGCUGCCCCUCUCUGCUCAUUGUCGUAAAAUAGGAAUGAAGCAAAGACUUUAAAAAUUACCAAUUUU